AAGAGUUAUAACAACUCCUAAACCCCUGUGAACAUACCUCAUGUUGCCUCGGCAGGUCGCGUCUCGUGCCCUGCCGGCGGCCCACGAAACUCUGUUUAGCAUUGAAUUCUGAACUUAUAACUAAAUCAGUUA
rnacentral:misc_RNA from 1 species